rnacentral:hammerhead_ribozyme from 1 species
AUCCAGCUGACGAGUCCCAAAUAGGACGAUGCCCUACAU